GAAAAUUUCAAAAGGUGGAAGAACAUGUUUUUUCAUUGCUCGAUGUUCAUGGCGUUGCACAUGUAUAAUUACAUCCACAACUGGUCCAGACGUUGAUAACAAAAUUAUGGAAUCAUGAUGACAACAUGCUAACAAGGUAUGUCGUCAUACUAUAUUACAAACUAUUUCUAACAUACUUUUUGAUGUAUACUGUAGCUACAAAGAAGCAAAAGUUAUUUGGGAAGCCUUAAUUAAGUAGUUCACUGCAGAAGAUGCUACCAAACAAAAGUUUGUGGUCGAAAGAUUUUACCAAUGCCAGAUGAGUAAUGAAAGGAGAUGAAAAUUCAAAUCAAUGAAUAUCAAAAAUUGCUUGAAGACUUGAAGGCCGAGGAGAUCAUUCUACCAGAAAAACUUGUUGUUGGAGUGUUGAUUGAGAAAUAGCCGGACUCAUGAAAUGAUUACAAUAAUAACUUAAAGCAUAAGCAAACAAAUUUCACUAUUAAGAAAAUAGUGAUUCACAUUCUAAUCGAAGACACCAACAGAAAGGAGUCAUUCAAAGCAAAGAAGUAGGCAUUCAAAGCAAACUUAGUACAAGGUCAUAACAUCAACAACAAAAGGUAUGGUAAUGAGUCUAAUAAUUACAUGCCUUAUAAUUACAAUUUUAAACAAAAGAAAGGUUCUUGUUUUACUUGUGGAAAAUCAUGUCAUCAUGUCUCAAAAUGUAGGAGGAGAAUAAAAAAUGACAAAGAAAAGGAUUAUCCUCCUAAGGCUAAUUUAGCUGAAGGAGAUGAAAUUAUUGCAGGUGUCAUUUCUCAAGUAAAUAUUGUAGCACAUGUAAAAGAAUGGGUGGUAUUCUCUGGGGCUACUCGGCACAUUUGUACAAAUCGAGAAGCAUUUGCCUCCUAUAUAUUGAUAGGGGAUGACAAUGAAGUAGUCUACCUUGAAGACUCAAGAACUAUUAAAGUGUUGAGUAAGGGUAAAGUGCUCUUGAAACUUACUUCAGGAAAAACUUUAGCCCUUAUGGAUGUACUACAUGUUCCUACAAUGCGUCCUGAUUUCUGUAGCCUUGCUUAAUAAAGUUAGAGUGAAAGUGUCAUUUGAAUGUGAAAAAGAUCAUAUUGACCAAAAAUAAUGUGUUUGUGGGAAAAGACUAUUGCAAACUAGGGAUUUUUGUACUUUAUGUUUGUAAUGUUGUGAAUGAAAAAACAUCCAUUUCUACUUACAUGGUUGAAUCUAUUUCUUAUGGCAUGCUAGAUUAAGACAUGUUAAUUUCUCUUAUAUAAAAAAUAUGCAACCACUUGAUUUGAUAUUUGACUUAGAUUCAAAUAAUAGUAAUAAAUGUGAAUAUGUGCUGAAGUUAAAAUUACUAAAAAGUAUAUAGAGAAACUAAAUUAUUGCCUUUAAUUCACACUGAUUUAGGUGAUUUAAAACAAACAAUGACUAGAGGUGGCAAAAGAUAUUAUGUAACUUUUAUUGAUGGUUUUUCUAGAUUUACAUAGUUAUACUUACUUAGGAAUAAAGAUGAUGCUUUAAUGUUUUUAUUUCUUAUAAAACUGAAGUGGAAAAUCAACUUAAAUAGAAAAAUCAAGAGAAUUAGAUCUGAUAGAGGUGGAGAAUAUUUAUCUUUAAAUGCCUUUUGUGAAAAGGAAGGAAUUAUUCAUGAAGUAACUCCACCUUACUCUCUAGAAUCUAAUGGAGUAGCUGAAAGGAAAAAUAAAACAUUAAAAGAAAUGAUGAACUCCAAGUAAAUUAGUUCUAAUGCACCUAAUAAUUUGUAGGGUGAAGCUACAUUAUCUGCAUGUCACUUACAAACUAGAAUUCCUCGUAAAAGAAAUGACAAAACACCUUAUGAAUUCUGGAAAUGCUAUAAACCUAAUUUGAUACAUUUAAAAGUGUGGGGGUGUCUUGCUAAAGUUCUCUUGCCUGAACCUAAGAAGAGAAAAAUAGGUUCUAAGGCAAUUGAUUGUAUGCUUAUUGGAUAUUCUAAACAUAGUGUUGUAUAUAAAUUUAUUAUUUUAAAAAGUGAUGUGCUUGAUUGCAAUACUAUUAUUGUGACAAAGAAUGUUGAAUUCUUCGAACAUAUUUUUUCACUAUGUGAUAAAAUUUCUCAUGUACCUGUUGAAAAAAAUUAGUGAGUCUACUUCUAAAAUUGAAGAACAAAGGAGUAAAAUGCAUAGGAAAGAACAUAUUUUUUAUGGAAAUGAUUUUCAAACUUUUCUUGUUGACCAUGAGCCAUUAAAUUAUUCUAAAGCAAUAUCUUCUUUUGAUGCUAAAUUUUGGAAAGAGGCAAUAAAAAUUGAAAUUGAUUCAAUUAUGAAAAAUAAUAUAUGAAUUUUAACUGAUUUACCUCCUGGUGCAAAACCUAUUGGUUAUAAAUGAAUUUUCAAAAGAAAAUGUAAUCCUGGUGGAUCUAUAGAUAAAUAUAAAGCUCGGUUAGCGCAAAAGGAUUUUAUCAAAAAUAAAAAAUUGAUUAUUUUGAUACAUUUGUACUAGUGACUAGAAUUUCUUCUAUUUAAAUUUUAAUUGCCUUAGCAUCAAUUCAUAAGCUUUUUAUCCAUCAAAUAGAUGUAAAAAUAACUUUUUUAAAUGGUGAUUUAGAAGAAGAAAUUUAUAAGGUUCAAUCUGAAUAAUGUAUUAUUUAUGGACAAGAAAAUAAAAUUUGUAAAUUAAUUAAAUCUCUUUAUGACCUUAAACAAGCUCCUAAGCAGUGACAUAAAAAAUUUGAUCAAGGCUUGAUGAGAGGUAGUUUUUCUUCUAUAAAAGUGGAUAAAUGUGUUUAUACUAAAAUAAUAGAUAAUGAUUAUGUGAUAAUAUGUUUAUAUGUUGAUGACAUGCUUAUAUUUGGAACCAGUUUAAAUAUUGUGCAGAGUACCAAAUCAUUUUUGUCUACUAAUUUUGAUAUGAGAGAUCUGGGUGAAGUAAAUAUGAUAUUGGGAGUUAAAGUUAUAAGGAGUGAAGAUGGUAUAAUGUUGUCACAAGAACAUUAUGUGGAAAGACUUCUUGAAAAGUUUGAAUGUUUUGAGGUGACACAUGUGGCCACUCCUUAUGAUGCUAAUUCUCAAUUGAAAAAGAAUAAAGGUGACCCAAGUCUAAAUAUGCUCAGAUUAUUCGGAGUGUGAUGCAUUUAAUGAAUUUUACUAGGCUAGAUAUAGCCUAUGUUAUGUGUAGACUGAGUAGAUAUACUCAUAAUUCCAAUAAAGAGCAUUGGUCUGCAUUAAAUAGACUAAUGAAAUAUUUGAGAGGAACAAUGAAUUAUGGUAUCAUGUAUAGUGAUUUCCUUCUAUAGUAGAAGAGUAUUGUGAUGCAAACUGAAUCUCUGAUUCAGAUGGAACAAAAUCCACUAGUGGAUAUGUGUUCACCUUAGGUGGAAAUCCACUAGUGGAUAUGUGUUCACCUUAGGUGGAAAUCCACUAGUGGAUAUGUGUUCACCUUAGGUGGAAAUCCACUAGUGGAUAUGUGUUCACCUUAGGUGGAAAUCCACUAGUGGAUAUGUGUUCACCUUAGGUGGAAAUCCACUAGUGGAUAUGUGUUCACCUUAGGUGGAAAUCCACUAGUGGAUAUGUGUUCACCUUAGGUGGAAAUCCACUAGUGGAUAUGUGUUCACCUUAGGUGGAAAUCCACUAGUGGAUAUGUGUUCACCUUAGGUGGAAAUCCACUAGUGGAUAUGUGUUCACCUUAGGUGGAAAUCCACUAGUGGAUAUGUGUUCACCUUAGGUGGAAAUCCACUAGUGGAUAUGUGUUCACCUUAGGUGGAAAUCCACUAGUGGAUAUGUGUUCACCUUAGGUGGAAAUCCACUAGUGGAUAUGUGUUCACCUUAGGUGGAAAUCCACUAGUGGAUAUGUGUUCACCUUAGGUGGAAAUCCACUAGUGGAUAUGUGUUCACCUUAGGUGGAAAUCCACUAGUGGAUAUGUGUUCACCUUAGGUGGAAAUCCACUAGUGGAUAUGUGUUCACCUUAGGUGGAAAUCCACUAGUGGAUAUGUGUUCACCUUAGGUGGAAAUCCACUAGUGGAUAUGUGUUCACCUUAGGUGGUGGUGCAGUAUCAUGCAAAUCAGCUAAAUAGACGAUUAUUGCUAGAUCAACUACGGAGUCAGAGUUUGUAGAUUUGGAGUUGCAUGGUUCUGAGGCUGAAUGGCUAAGAAAUUUCUUAGUGAAUAUCCCUUUGAUAAAGGAUGAAUUGCCUCCUAUGUUUAUACAUUGUGAUUGUCAAGCCACAAUCUCUAUUGCGAAGAAUAAAUCUUACAAUUGUAAGAGCAGACACAUGAAACUGAGACAUGACGUUGUUAAGCAACUGCUGGGAGAUGAUGUAAUUUCCAUUGAUUAUGUGAAGUUAUAAUUGGAUUCGGUCAAUUUAUUGACUAAACUUGUGGGAAGAAAAUUAAUUCUUCAACCCUCGCAAAAGAUGGGGUUAAGGCCAAUAUGAUUUUCAAUAGAGAUGGUAACCCAACCUAUGUGAUUGGAGAUCCCAUGAAGUAGAUUCAUAUGGAUAAUAACAAGUCGAUAUUGACACUACGCACUACUAGAGAGUACUUGAAUUGCUUUUAAUUAUGAGUGAUGAGUUAUUAACUCUUAAUGAAUUCAUAGUCCUUAUGGAUGGUGUAUUUAAAGCAGUAUACACUUGAUGGAUUCACCUAUAUGAGAAGUGGAAUGAAGUCGCGCGCUCCUAUGAGAAUUUGUCCUAGUCUCUACAGCUCUCAUGAAUAACCAGGCACACGCACGACUUAUUGGCGCAAAACAACGUUGAACAACAAAAUAUAAGGAUUGAUAGAAUCUCUUACUUACAAAAGAAUAAUUGGUUCAUAGUAAUUUUAUAUUUCACCAACAAUUCUGUAAGUUAAAUUUUAUUAAUAUAAGUUUGGUUCAUAGUCCAAAAGACACCAAACCUAUUGCAUUUGAUCAUACAAAAUUAAGCAAGUUGAGUCCUUCUAUUUCAAAAUUAUAUUAAAAUAUAUGGGGGAUUGUUGGAUAUUUUAAAUAGUUUGAGUCAUAUUUUGAACUCUAUUAGUUUAUGACUUGAGUACUUAUGUCAUUGAAGUAGUAAGACAGUGUCUAGCAUGACUCAAGUUUUGUUUAUACAUUGUAGUCGUAUUUAUUCUAAUUCUUGUAUUAUUAUUUUGAUAUUAUAUGUUCCCAUCUACGUAUAUUUGCCAACAAAGUCAUUAGGUGCUUAAAUGGUAUUCCAGGAAAGGUUUGUCUGCCAGAUAUGUGAUGAAAGUGGACCUCCGAAAAGCCUAUGAUUUUAUUGAAUGAGAGUUCUUGAAAAGCAUGCUAGCAGAACUUGGCGUCCCGUUCAGAUUUAUAUAAUGGAUCAUGGAAUGCAUUUCAAUAGUGUCAUACUCCUUGGUUAUUAACAGAGGGCUUUCAAUAAAGAGGAAUAAGGCAGGGACCUUUUCGUGAUUGCUAUGGAAUACCUGUAAAGAAAACUGAAUGAGGUGCAUAUUUCUAUGGAAAGUACCUUGGAAGAGCCUAACAGGGCAUCCAUCCACAACAUAUAUAGGUUCUUUCUACUAAAGAGGCUUGCUACAGUUG
rnacentral:lncRNA from 1 species